rnacentral:rRNA from 1 species
GGGAGACACACGGCGGGUGCUAACGUCCGUCGUGAAGAGGGAAACAACCCAGACCAUCAGCUAAGGUCCCAAAGUUUCGGCUAAGUGGUAAACGAUGUGAGAAGGCAUAGACAGCCAGGAGGUUGGCUUAGAAGCAGCCAUCCUUUAAAGAAAGCGUAAUAGCUCACUGGUCUAGUCGGCUCGCGCGGAAGAUUUAACGGGGCUAAGCCGAGCACCGAAGCUAUGGGUGUGGCGGUCUUCGGAUCGUCACGCGGUAGGGGAGCGUUCUCUACGCCUGCGAAGGUGUGCUGCGAGGCAUGCUGGAGGUAUGAGAAGUGCGAAUGCUGACAUGAGUAACGUUAAAGCGGGUGAAAAACCCGCUCGCCGAAAACCCAAGGUUUCCUGAGCUACGUUAAUCGGCUGAGGGUGAGUCGGUUCCUAAGGCGAGACCGAAAGGUGUAGUCGAUGGAAAGCAGGUUAACAUUCCUGCACCGAUUCCAACUGCGAUGGGGUGACGGAGAAGGCUAGAUCAGCGGCAGCAGUGCCGUCCAAGGUCGUAGGGGGACUCUCCCGGAAAAUCCGGAGGGUCGCUAUCCCCGAGAUCCGAGUGCGAGGGAACUUCGGUUCCCGAAGUGAUUGAUGCCACGCUCCCGGGAAAAGCCUCUAAGCUUCAGGUUGGAGUUGACCGUACCGUAAACCGACACUGGUGGGUGAGGAGAUAAUCUCCUAAGGCGCUUGAGAGAACUCGGGUUAAGGAACUCUGCAAAUUGAUACCGUAACUUCGGGAGAAGGUAUGCCAAAGUUGGUGAGGGGAUUUACUCCCUGAGCUGAUUUUGGUCACAGGUAAUCGGGGGCUGCGACUGUUUACCAAAAACACAGGACUCUGCUAACACGAAAGUGGAUGUAUAGGGUCUGACGCCUGCCCGGUGCCGGAAGGUUAAUUGAUGGGGUCAGCCGCAAGGCGAAGCUCUUGAUCGAAGCCCCGGUAAACGGCGGCCGUAACUAUAACGGUCCUAAGGUAGCGAAAUUCCUUGUCGGGUAAGUUCCGACCUGCACGAAUGGCGUAACGCUGGCCACACUGUCUCGACCCGAGACUCAGUGAAGUUGAAAUCGCUGUGAAGAUGCGGCGUAGCUGCGGAAAGACGGAAAGACCCCGUGAACCUUUACUACAGCUUUACACUGAACUUUGACCUUGUCUGUGUAGGAUAGGUGGGAGCCUUUGAAGCGUGGGCGCUAGCUCGCGUGGAGGCAACGUUGAAAUACCACCCUGAUAAUGUCGAAGUUCUAACCUAGAUCCGUAAUCCGGGUCGGGGACACUGUAUGGUGGGUAGUUUGACUGGGGCGGUCUCCUCCCAAAGAGUAACGGAGGAGU